rnacentral:rRNA from 1 species
AUGAACGCUGGCGGCGUGCUUCACACAUGCAAGUCGCACGAUGAAGCCCAGCUUGCUGGGUGGAUUAGUGGCGAACGGGUGAGUAACACGUGAGUAACCUGCCCUUAACUCUGGGAUAAGCCUGGGAAACUGGGUCUAAUACCGGAUAGGAGCGUCCACCGCAUGGUGGGUGUUGGAAAGAUUUAUCGGUUUUGGAUGGACUCGCGGCCUAUCAGCUUGUUGGUGAGGUAAUGGCUCACCAAGGCGACGACGGGUAGCCGGCCUGAGAGGGUGACCGGCCACACUGGGACUGAGACACGGCCCAGACUCCUACGGGAGGCAGCAGUGGGGAAUAUUGCACAAUGGGCGCAAGCCUGAUGCAGCGACGCCGCGUGAGGGAUGACGGCCUUCGGGUUGUAAACCUCUUUCAGUAGGGAAGAAGCGAAAGUGACGGUACCUGCAGAAGAAGCACCGGCUAACUACGUG